rnacentral:rRNA from 1 species
UAAGCAUAUCAAUAAGCGGAGGAAAAGAAACUAACAAGGAUUCCCCUAGUAACUGCGAGUGAAGCGGGAAAAGCUCAAAUUUAAAAUCUGGCGGUCUUUGGCUGUCCGAGUUGUAAUCUAGAGAAGUAUUAUCCGCGCUGGACCGUGUACAAGUCUCCUGGAAUGGAGCAUCAUAGAGGGUGAGAAUCCCGUCUUUGACAUGGACUGCCAGGGCUUUGUGAUACGCUCUCAAAGAGUCGAGUUGUUUGGGAAUGCAGCUCAAAAUGGGUGGUAAAUUCCAUCUAAAGCUAAAUAUUGGCGAGAGACCGAUAGCGAACAAGUACCGUGAGGGAAAGAUGAAAAGAACUUUGGAAAGAGAGUUAAACAGUACGUGAAAUUGCUGAAAGGGAAACGCUUGAAGUCAGUCACGUUGGCCAGGGAUCAACCUUGCUUUUUUGCUUGGCUUACUUUCUGGUUCGAUGGGUCAGCAUCAAUUUUGACCGKUGGAAAAAGUYCAARGGAAUGUGGCAUCUUYGGAUGUGUUAUAGCCYUUGUUCACAUACAUUGGUUGGGAUUGAGGAACUCAGCACGCCGCAAGGCCGGGUUUUWAACCACGUACGUGCUUAGGAUGCUGGCAUAAUGGCUUUAAUCGACCCGUCUUGAAACACGGACCAAGGAGUCUAACAUGCCUGCGAGUAUUUGGGUGAAAAACCCGAGUGCGUAAUGAAAGUGAAAGUUGAGAUCCCUGUCGUGGGGAGCAUUGACGCCCGGAUCUGACCUUUUGUGACGAUUCUGCGGUAGAGCAUGUAUGUUGGGACCCGAAAGAUGGUGAACUAUGCCUGAAUAGGGUGAAYCCAGAGGAAACUCUGGUGGAGGCUCGUAGCGAUUCUGACGUGCAAAUCGAUCGUCAAAUUUGGGUAUAGGGGCGAAAGACU